rnacentral:rRNA from 1 species
AUGAAUGCUAGCUACAGGCCUAACACAUGCAAGUCGAGGGGCAGCAUGAUUGAAGCUUGCUUCAAUUGAUGGCGACCGGCGCACGGGUGAGUAACACGUAUCCAACCUUCCGCUGACUCGGGGAUAGCCUUUCGAAAGAAAGAUUAAUACCCGAUAGCAAAGGAUUUCCGCAUGGAUAUUCUUUUAAAGGAUUCCGGUCAGCGAUGGGGAUGCGUUCCAUUAGAUAGUUGGCGGGGUAACGGCCCACCAAGUCGACGAUGGAUAGGGGUUCUGAGAGGAAGGUCCCCCACAUUGGAACUGAGACACGGUCCAAACUCCUACGGGAGGCAGCAGUGAGGAAUAUUGGUCAAUGGGCGAGAGCCUGAACCAGCCAAGUAGCGUGAAGGAAGACUGCCCUAUGGGUUGUAAACUUCUUUUAUACGGGAAUAAAGUCAUCCACGUGUGGAUGUUUGUAUGUACCGUAUGAAUAAGGAUCGGCUAACUCCGUGCCAGCAGCCGCGGUAAUACGGAGGAUCCGAGCGUUAUCCGGAUUUAUUGGGUUUAAAGGGAGCGUAGGCGGGCUUUUAAGUCAGUUGUGAAAGUUUGCGGCUCAACCGUAAAAUUGCAGUUGAUACUGGAAGCCUUGAGUACAGUAGAGGCAGGCGGAAUUCGUGGUGUAGCGGUGAAAUGCUUAGAUAUCACGAAGAACUCCGAUUGCGAAGGCAGCUUGCUGGACUGUAACUGACGCUGAUGCUCGAAAGUGUGGGUAUCAAACAGGAUUAGAUACCCUGGUAGUCCACACAGUAAACGAUGGACACUCGCUGUUGGCGAUAUACGGUCAGCAGCUUAGCGAAAGCGUUAAGUGUCCCACCUGGGGAGUACGCCGGCAACGGUGAAACUCAAGGGAAUUGACGGGGGCCCGCACAAGCGGAGGAACAUGUGGUUUAAUUCGAUGAUACGCGAGGAACCUUACCCGGGCUUGAACUGCAGCGGAAUGAUGUGGAAACAUGUCAGCGAGUAAUCGCCGCUGUGGAGGUGCUGCAUGGUUGUCGUCAGCUCGUGUCGUGAGAUGUUCGGUUAAGUCCGAUAACGAGCGCAACCCUUAUUUCUAGUUGCUAACAUUUAGUUGAGUUCUCUAGUAAUACUGCCGGUGAUAAACCGGAGGAAGGUGGGGAUGACGUCAAAUCAUCAUGCCCCUUAUGACCUGGGCCACACACGUGCUACAAUGGACGGGACAGAGGGAAGCGAAGGCGCGAGCCGGAGCGGACCCCAGAAACCCGUUCCCAGUUCGGACUGCAGUCUGCAACUCGACUGCACGAAGCCGGAAUCGCUAGUAAUCGCGGAUCAGCAUGCCGCGGUGAAUACGUUCCCGGGCCUUGUACACACCGCCCGUCAAGCCAUGAAAGCCGGGGGUACCUGAAGUGCGUAACCGCAAGGAGCGCCCUAGGGUAAAACCGGUGAUUGGGGCU